rnacentral:lncRNA from 1 species
UACUCUUAUCCCUUGGUCAGGCAGCGCUCGAUCCAGAAGCACGGCACGCAGCGGCAACGGAGUUCUUCACCAAUCCUCGCGCAGGCCGAUGCCGGUGGAGUCCCUCUCCAAUUCGAAGCCACGCCUCCCUCUCUCUCCUGCAGAUCGAAUCCAGCACCGCCGCCGUCGGCAGCCAGCUCAUGGAGUCCAGCCACCGCCGCACCAGAUGUUUGUUGCUGCUCCCCUCCUUUCCCCUCCUCCUUUGCCGUCGCCCCAGAUGCCGAGUCCCGAUCGAGGCCGCACUCCUCGGCUCGAGGUCCUCAGGCUGAGGCCGGAUCGAGGCCAUGCUCGUCGAGGCCGGCCAGGCAGGGGAGCCCGUCCCGCGUGAACCCAGAGCUGGCGGUGGAGACGGGUUCGCCCGCGAAGCGCUUGGUCACGGCAGCCUGCGCCCGAGCGAUGGGAAAGCGAGGAGGAGGAAGAGAAGACGCGGUGGAGGAGUAGCAGUCGGCGGCGGGGCUCCUAGGGCGCAGGAGGAGGAGGUGGAGGAGGAGGUGGCGGCCGAAGAGGGAGGGAGGGGCGAGGGGCGCGGGGCUGUGGAUUGGGGCUAGGGUUCGAUGCCGUUUUCUACCUCGGCGGUGCGGUGUUUUUUUACUUCGCGUGGUGCGCUGCACCCCACGCGCGGCGCGGUGCGGUGCUCUUUUUUCCCUCGCGUGUUACCGUGCGCUCGAGGCCUUCGUUGUGACUACCACUCUAGGAGGCUUUAUAUUAUGUCCAACAUAGUACAACCUCCUUUAAUAUUUUUAUAGGAUUCGAUAUGGAAGAGGAAUUCGGACAAAUUAUAUGUGUAUAAGCAUCUACAGAAACUUAUCUACAGAUUUUUAUAGCAACAAAAGCAUUUGUGCAUAAAAAUAAGUGCCUUUCAUUGAGCUUUUCAAUUCAGCACACAUGAGCAAUUAACUUUCAAAAUCCUAGAAUAAUAGAGGCAUAGGUAAGAAACACCAACCUGCAAUAGAUGUUGCAUAGAGAACUUUUCAGUUCAGCACACAUGAGUAUUUAACUUGCAAAAUCCUAGAAUAAUACAUGCAUAGGUAGCUGCAGUGAGAAGGAGAGGAAGCACCAACCUGCAAUGAUGUUGGAUAGAGAAAAUAAACAAGAACAACUCAGCAGGAGCAUAUCCGCAAGCCAAUGGGGAUAACUAAAAGUAGCAAUGUGUGAAACAUAACAGAGAAAGUCCAAUCACUAAGUUUCAUAAGAACACCGACGACAAAGGAAUAUUGUGAGAGAUUGAUCUUGGCUUACCUUCUGCCAAGGAUGACGUCGACGGCACCGUCGACGACCGCUUCGCCAGCAGUGCACCAACGCCGCGCCUGCUUCAGCAGCUGCUCCUCUCAUCCCCGGCGGCACCACAAAGAGAAAAAAAAUGAAAAAGAGGAAUCAGGGGAAGAACCAGAGCAACGAAGAGGAGAAGAGGCAGCAAUGGUGAAAUAAUGAAACGGGAGAUGUGGAGAUGCAGCCCGCAUAGGAGCAUGGUGGCUAGUUUUACCUUAUACUCUUAUCCCUUGGUCAGGCAGCGCUCGAUCCAGAAGCACGGCACGCAGCGGCAACGGAGUUCUUCACCAAUCCUCGCGCAGGCCGACGCCGGUGGAGUCCCUCUCCAAUUCGAAGCCACGCCUCCCUCUCUCUCCUGCAGAUCGAAUCCAGCACCGCCGCCGUCACCGGCCAGCUCAUGGAGUCCAGCCACCGCCGCACCAGAUGUUUGUUGCUGCUCCCCUCCUUUCCCCUCCUCCUUUGCCGUCGCCCCAGAUGCCGAGUCCCGAUCGAGGCCGCACUCCUCGGCUCGAGGUCCUCAGGCUGAGGCCGGAUCGAGGCCAUGCUCGUCGAGGCCGGCCAGGCAGGGGAGCCCGUCCCGCGUGAACCCAGAGCUGGCGGUGGAGACGGGUUCGCCCGCGAAGCGCUUGGUCACGGCAGCCUGCGCCCGAGCGAUGGGAAAGCGAGGAGGAGGAAGAGGCGACGCGGUGGAGAGUAGCAGUCCGCGGCGGGGCUCCUAGGGCGCAGGAGGAGGAGGUGGUGGAGGGAGUGGCGGCGGACGAGGGAGGGAGGAGCGAGGGGCGCGGGGCUGUGGAUUGGGGCUAGGGUUCGAUGUCGUUUUCUACCUCGGCGGUGCGGUGUUUUUUUACUUCGCGUGGUGCGCUGCACCCCACGCGCGGCGCGGUGCGGUGCUCUUUUUUCCCUCGCGUGGUACCGUGC